CUAAUACCGGAUAGUUCCUUGAACCGCAUGGUUCAAGGAUGAAAGACGGUUUCGGCUGUCACUUACAGAUGGACCCGCGGCGCAUUAGCUAGUUGGUGGGGUAAUGGCUCACCAAGGCGACGAUGCGUAGCCGACCUGAGAGGGUGAUCGGCCACACUGGGACUGAGACACGGCCCAGACUCCUACGGGAGGCAGCAGUAGGGAAUCUUCCGCAAUGGACGAAAGUCUGACGGAGCAACGCCGCGUGAGUGAUGAAGGUUUUCGGAUCGUAAAGCUCUGUUGUUAGGGAAGAACAAGUGCGAGAGUAACUGCUCGCACCUUGACGGUACCUAACCAGAAAGCCACGGCUAACUACGUGCCAGCAGCCGCGGUAAUACGUAGGUGGCAAGCGUUGUCCGGAAUUAUUGGGCGUAAAGGGCUCGCAGGCGGUUUCUUAAGUCUGAUGUGAAAGCCC
rnacentral:rRNA from 1 species